AUGCUUGGGUCCUACCGAAAGAGAAAAAAACCAUUGGGAUGCGAAGUGUCUUGGAAAGAAUGCAGAGUCUACUCUGAGGAGCUUGCAGUACUGAGAUCUACUCCCGCACUAGGCCAUGUUUAUUCAUCAAAUGGAGAAACACUCCCUGUGUCAGAGAUAUUAUCUGCAUUAGUCAUCAGUACGUGCGGUGCAGAGACCUUUCUGUGCUGCAGAGGAGCCUGCAGCACAACCAAGGUAUGUGGGGAAAACUGCCUCUGCAAGAGAACAUCAGCUCUUUUUCCUCCUCACUGAACAUCCUGUGUGCUCCCCUCAGGACUCAUGACAGCUCAGUGGGGAAGAGUAGGUGAAUGUAGCCAGAUAAAGCAGAACAAGUUUGCUUUAGUAAGAUCUGGGUGGGAGAGUUGUCCUUGGCUCAUGGGCUUAUGAUAAUCACAAGUAGUUGUACCAUUAAAAAUGGAAGCAAUAUAACUUUGUAUUUUUCUCUUAACAAGACUGAAAAAAUCAGUGGAAAAAAAGGGAAAAAAGUCUCUCUAGGUUCAGUAAAUGAAAACAGAAGGAGGGAAUAUAAUAAUGUACAGCCACAGCUCUUCCUCAAUGUAGCAGCAGCAUCUGUUAAAAUGCAGGACUCUUAAAACUGGCAAAGAGCUUCGAAAGCCUGGUUGAACCACAAAACAGGUACAUAUCAGAGAGAUGAUGGCUUCAGUUUGUUGGAAUAAGGUUUCCCAUUAACUGCUGAAGUACCACAGUCUGUGGAUUCUGGUUUUUUUUCCUCUUCUCAUUUUCCUCUGCUUUUUCUCCAGUGACUUUCAGUUGUGUUAAAAACUAGUGUUCGGUCCUCUGAAGUAUCCAUUGGCUUUGACUGGUGUUAUAAGCCACCUUGUGAUGGGCUGUAGUAGAAAUAGUUGCCACAGGAGGUGAACGCAAGGUGAGAUAAAAACUGAACAAAAAUAUGGCAUUGUUCUUUUUAAACUGCAAAUUCAAGUCCAAGGUGUGAACAGCAAAACCUUCAAAUAAUAAAUGUGCAGACAAAUCUUUCGGAUGCA
rnacentral:lncRNA from 1 species